AGUCUCGAAAAUAAAAGAGCUAUAUAACUUUGUUAGUUUUUGUGGUAACAAAAUUUAAAAAACUUAUAUAGGAGUAAAAUAUUAAUCGAUUUUAUUGAUAUCUAGUAACUUUCUUAUUAAAUUUAGUUUAUGGUACUUCUAGAAUUGGUAAUUUUUUUGUAGUCUUAGUCUUUAGGGGAUGAGCUCUAAAGAUAAAAUAUAAAAUUUUAUGGUUUUUGUUUUUUUUGUAGGCUUAGGAUUAGCCAUUAGAUAGUGUUAUAAAAUAAAAUUUUAAGUUUAGGAUUUAGGAUUUUUUAUUUUUGUAGGAAGUUAAUGUAAAAACUUGAUAAUAUGUGAAAUGAUGAUAGUAUAAGUAGAGGUUGCUUUGAAAAUCCCUAAUUGACUUAUUUUUAUUAAGUGUAGUAAAAGAACUCGGCAAUGUAGAUUUCCGAAUGUUUAACAAAAACAUUUCUUCUCAGAAUGGGAAGUAAGGCCUGCUCACUGAAAUUUGAAGAGCCGCAGUAUUCUGACUGUGCUAAGGUAGCAUAAUCAUUAGUCUUUUAAUUGAGGACUGGUAUGAAUGGCUAAACGAGAAAUCAACUUUUUUUACUACAAUACUCUAAUUUAUUUUUUUAGUGAAAAAACUAAAAUUAUCCUAGAAGACGAGAAGACCCUAUAGAGUUUUAUAUAGUUGUAAACUUCAUUGUAGUAGAUUUUUAUUAGUGGGGUUUGAAUCUAUAAUUAGUUGGGGCGACGUAAAGAUAAGAUAAACUCUUUUUUUUUGAAAAUUUCUAUAGAAGAAAUGGUUUGAUCCUCUAUAAGAGAUCAAAAGAAAAAAUUACCUUAGGGAUAACAGCGUAAUCUUUUUUGAGAGUUCUAAUCGACAAGAAGGUUUGCGACCU
rnacentral:rRNA from 1 species